GACGUGACUUCAGAGUUUGAUCCUGGCUCAGGAUGAACGCUGGCGGCGUGCCUAACACAUGCAAGUCGAACGAAGCGCUUUGAAGUUUUCGGACAGAUGAGUGACUGAGUGGCGGACGGGUGAGUAACGCGUGGGUAACCUGCCUCAUACAGGGGGAUAACAGUUAGAAAUGACUGCUAAUACCGCAUAAGCGCACAGUACCGCAUGGUACAGUGUGAAAAACUCCGGUGGUAUGAGAUGGACCUGCGUCUGAUUAGCUAGUUGGUGAGGUAACGGCCCACCAAGGCGACGAUCAGUAGCCGACCUGAGAGGGUGACCGGCCACAUUGGGACUGAGACACGGCCCAA
rnacentral:rRNA from 1 species